AGCAGGACGGUGGCCACGGACAUCAGAAUCCACUAAGGACUGUGUAACAACUCACCUGCUGA
rnacentral:ncRNA from 1 species